rnacentral:rRNA from 1 species
UACGUAGGGUGCGAGCGUUACUCGGAAUUACUGGGCGUAAAGCGUACGCAGGCGGCUUUGCAAGACAGGUGUGAAAUCCCCGGGCCUAACCUGGGAACUGCAUUUGUGACUGCAUGGCUAGAGUUUGUCAGAGGGGGGUGGAAUUCCACGUGUAGCAGUGAAAUGCGUAGAUAUGUGGAGGAACACCGAUGGCGAAGGCAGCCCCCUGGGAUGUGACUGACGCUCAUGUACGAAAGCGUGGGGAGCAAACAGG